rnacentral:rRNA from 1 species
UGAGGAAUAUUGGUCAAUGGGCUUACGCCUGAACCAGCCAAGUCGCGUGAGGGAAGACUGCCCUAUGGGUUGUAAACCUCUUUUGUCAGGGAGCAACAACAUAUACGAGUAGGUGUUACGAGAGUACCUGAAGAAAAAGCAUCGGCUAACUCCGUGCC